CAGCCGUAAACAAUGUGCGUUAGGUGUGUCGGUAACCACGUGUUACUGAUGCGCCGAAGAGAAAUCGUGAAACGCACCACCUGGGAAGUACGGUCGCAAGGCUGAAACUUAAAGGAAUUGGCGGGGGAGCACCACAACAGGUGGAGCCUGCGGUUUAAUUGGACUCAACGCCGGGAAGCUCACCGGAUAGGACAGCAGAAUGAUUGCCGGGCUGAAGACCCUGCAUGACUAGCUGAGAGGAGGUGCAUGGCGUAGACGUCU
rnacentral:rRNA from 1 species